GUCUCAAGUCUUCACCUCUCAGAGGUAGAGAUGUCAAACGGGUUGAUCCGUUCUGUCCCGUCCCGUACCAAUAAACCCGGCAGCAGGUGAGGCCUGGAAGCGGAGAGGACAGGCUCGUGCUGCUCUUGGGGAAUUUGCUGAGGCGGUUGAAGCUUUGACUCGAGCACUGGAAUUGGAGCCAAAAUCACCUGAUAUUUUGCAUGAAAGGGGUAUUUCAAUUUUAGAUCUAAGGACUUCACUGCUGCCGUAAAGGACUUAUCUAUAUGUCUGAAACAAGAAAAGGAUAACAAGUCCGCACAUACUUUAUUUGGGACUAUCUUUUGCAUAUCUUGGUGAAUAUAUUAAAGCUGAAGAGGCGCAUCUGAAGUCCAUCCAGCUGGAUAGUAAUUAUCUUGAAGCAUGGCUACAUCUCGCCCAGUUGUAUCAAAGCUUUGGAAUGCAUUGAUCAGGUUCUACAAGUCGACAACAGGGUUUGGAAGGCCUAUCACUUUCGUGGGUUUGUGUUCCAUGGAUUAGGUGAACACAGAAGGGAUACUUGGAAGUUGUCAGAACUCUACUUUCCGUCGGAGUUUCAUUGAAAGCCAUCACUCGCAAGGGACUGACACCUCUUCCCUACGCUGCUCAAGGUUCUCAGUUGGACCUCGUCAAGUACUUGGUUAAGAAAGGAGCCAAUGUCAGAGCUACAACAAAGGCAGGUGUUUAUGGAGCAUGUGUUUCAGACUCUGUUUUUCUCUAUCUCCGUCCCUUGCAAUGUCAUUUUUGAUCAUCUUUCUGCUGAAUGGUAGCUUGUGGCAGUGAGCCAAGUGAGAAACAUUCUCGGACUGGGAACACGGGAGGCUGAAGCUAUUACUGUUGAUGUCACGUCUAAGGCAUACCGUAAAAGACUUGCAAUCCAUGAAGAAAUCUACAGGCAGAAGCUUCAACAAUGUGUUCUGAUGGAGAGCCGAGCGAUGACAAUGUCGCUGCUUUGUUAAGGUCAAGAGUCAUGCUCUGAACUAUUGAGGCAGCUCAUGCAGAAAUCUGUGGAAGCAAAUUUGAAAAGGCAGGUUAUUUCUUCUGGAGUGAGAUGGUUACGAUGCUGAAACUACAAAUCAGUAAGAAAGGCUACUCAUGGUCUUCGGUUAUCCAGAGAGACUGCCAUGUCUAUUGCUAGCAAGGCUACGAGCAAAGGAGCCCAAGAAGAUGAUUGCCUUGAAUCGCUCAGAAAGACAAGACCUGACAAAGAACUCGCGGAGAAGAUGGGAAAGCCUGGCCAGACUGAGAUAACUCUUAAAAACGACCUUCCCGAGAGGGACAGGAUCGAUCUCUACAAAACAUACUUGCUCUACUGUCUAACAGGAGAGGUAACAACAAAGAGAGACGACUCAGAGUACUUGCUUCUGAAUCAGCUUGGUGGGAUCCUUGGAUUAAUUUCGAAAGAAAUAGUCAACAUUCACGUAGGUUUAGGCGUUAGCUGAAGUGAUUCUAGCUGAUGGGCAGUUGACAAAGGCUAGAGUAGAGCAGCUAGACGAGCUGCAGAAACAAGUUGGGUUGCCUCAGCCGCAAGUGGAGAGAAGGUUAUAAAGAACAUAACAAACCACAAAAAUGGCAAACGCGAAAGAAACUGCUGUUAACCAAGGAAGACGGAAUAUAAAGCAGAUACGAGAGAGCUCAAGGAGUAGACUAACGAACUCGCUGAUCCACGCUGUGGCAUUACCAAGGCAGAGAAACGCUAAAGGAGUGGUAUGCAAAUCCUCUUUUCCUCUCAAUUCUAGGAAGUCGUUUUGUAUGUCUCAUUAGUUUGCCGGAGCACAAGAGAUUUUGUGGAUUUCUAAAGUUUAUAGAUUUUUAAAAUAACUGAUUUUUUUUUCAUAGACUUUUUCAAUUAUGUUAGUCCAUAUAUAUAUAGAGUCCAUAAUUUUUUUUUUAAUCAUGUUAUUUUGUUUUAUUAUUGUUAAGUAAAGUAACUAUGUAAGAAUAUUGUUGUUGUAAGGUAAUAUGUUAACACUGA